rnacentral:rRNA from 1 species
UACGAAGGGGGCUAGCGUUGCUCGGAAUCACUGGGCGUAAAGCGCACGUAGGCGGAUUGCUAAGUCAGGGGUGAAAUCCUGGAGCUCAACUCCAGAACUGCCUUUGAUACUGGCGACCUUGAGUCCGGGAGAGGUGAGUGGAACUGCGAGUGUAGAGGUGAAAUUCGUAGAUAUUGGGAAGAACACCAGUGGCGAAGGCGGCUCACUGGCCCGUAACUGACGCUGAGGAGCGAAAGCGUGGGGAGCGAACAAG